CCUCAGGACUGGUCGUGGAGUGUCGCCUGGCGGUGCUGUCGGAGCGCGACGUGUGACGUCGUCGCGUCGCACUGGCUCUUUAUCAUAAGCAACACCGAUGUCAUUUCUCAAAAAAAAAACGUUUGUGCCCCAAGUUAAUGUUGACCUACGAGUGUCCCCGUUGUGUUUCCGAACCCGCUCUUUGCUCGGUGCAGUUGAGCGAGUUGUAAGAUUUACCAAACGUAGUUUGUAUUUGUCAUAUGUAAAGAUCGAGCGUUGCUAUUUUGCUCAAGAUUUUUAUAAUGUAUUUUUUAUUUAAUCUAUAAAUCUUAUGCUUAUGCUACUUUUGAUGUCUAGUCAAGCUUCAAGAACACUGUCCAAUCGUUAUGUUCUGUAAAAAUUCUGGUGAUGAAAAAAUAAGCAAACUCUGUCAAAAUAUAUUUACUUUUGUUUACUUGAAA